UAUAUCCUUCCACCUUUAACGUGCUCCGUAGUAUUACGAGAGGACUAAGUCCCUUCCAUGAAAAACACCCCCACAUUGUCACCCCACCUCCGUCGAAUUUCACUGUGGGCACUAUACAGGCCGGCAUGUAGCGUUCACCUAGCAUUCGCCACACCCAAACCCUCCCAUCGGACUGCCACAUGGUAUAGCGUGAUUCAUCACUCCAAAUCACGCGUCUCCAGUAGUCCACAACCCACUCUUUACACCAAUGAACGCUGCACUUAGCGUUCACAGGCAACCAAUAACCAUACCACAUUCCAAGUUACUGAGCUCCCUUGCUGCACCCAUUCUGUCGGUAUCGCGUAGAACUGAACAACAUCGAGCCCUCUGCCUCCUUUUAUAGCAGCAGUGGUGGUCGUAGUGAUAUCUAGACUCGGGUUUACGUUUACAGAGAGGUGUCCGGAUACUUUUGAUCAGGCAGUGUAUAUUAACUGGUUAUGUAGUGUUGAGUAGUAUGAUGGAUGUGAAUGAUACACUAUAAGACACACAAAAAUGAGCAGUUGUGGCCUAUUGUAACAUUUGUUCCAGCUACAUGAAGAAAUGGAAACCAUCAAGAGCUUCAGUCAGUGUAAUUUGUGUCAGGAGAUACCAAAAUAUGGAGUGCUGAUUACUUGAUCAUAAUGUCUGAUCUUCAUCACCUCUCAAGAUUGAUGCAGAUUCCAGACAGUGAUUUCAGUAUAAUUUCAUUAGCCAGGACUAGAGGUGUAACACCGACCAGUAGUUUGUAAUUUCUCAGUAGAGUUGACAGUGAUGAUUUCAACAUCAGCACUGAAUAUUUCUGGCCUACAAACAAAACAUGACAUUCUGUACAUAUCUGUAUAUUUAAUAUAAAACUUGUAUAUUGCUGCAUGUACACUGAAUGUGAAAUCAGAAAAGGGAGGUGGACUACAGGCAUGUAGUAUAUACAGCAAACUGUAUUGGGGGAUAAGUCCCAUGAAAUAUGGAGUGAAGUACUGUACAAAAUUCUCACUGAAUCUACACCCAUGAAACUAGUUAGGCGAAUCAGAAUGUGUUUAAGCACAACCUGUAAUAAGUCCACACAGGAAAACAUUGUCUGCAACAUUUCCUAUUGAGAAUGUUUUGGAACAAGGAGAUGCUAUUUCAGUUUAUCUUUGAAUAGGAAGAUAGGAAGAAAUCAAUAAAGCCUGGAAUUCACUAGGGCACAUCAGCUUCUUGGCUUUAAACAUAAAUGUCAUGAACCAAUUUUAAUAGUGCUCUUUAUAUAAUUUUCCCCUGCCUAUCUCUUUAUUCCUCUUAGAUAAAUAUAUUUUCCUCAGCACCCUGUGGGUUCUGAAAAAACAGAAAAAAAUUAGGUCAAAGUUUAAUGUCAAAGACCACAGAUGGAAAAAUAUUUAAACUAUUAGGCAGAAGAGAAAAUCUGUGUAAUGAGGAAUAAGUAAGUUUUUUGACAAACCUAUAUUGAGGUCACUGAUUUUUCUCCCAAUAAUAGGAACAGUAGGGAAAAGUCUGAGUGUUUCUUUGAUGACCUGCUCUAAGUAGUUCAUGUUCUGUAGGUCAUGUAAAGUUGGAGAGUGACCAGAGUCACCAAAUAUCUCCUUUAGUUCUGCCAUUACUCUCUCCUGGAACACAAGAAUCCAUACUAUAAGAUCCGUUUCACAUGAAGGUAGCUGAAUUAUUUUAUUGUGGUGGAAGACCUUGAUUUGUGAACACAAGAGUGACCAUUUGUACAUAUGAAUAAAGUCAGUAUCUACCAUAAUAUUUCCAUCAAUGUUAUGAAUGCUGUCAAUUCAUAAGAACAAAGCCAGACUCUUGCUUUCUCAUUUUUACCUAAUGAAACCCAUUUAUCCUCAAGGAACUCCACUCCCGAAUGAGAAAGGCUGUGGCAGAAUUGUUGGUGGAAGAACCUCUUCGAAAGUUACUAUGUUGAAGGCAGGGAUGAAGAUGGAAUACUAAUAUGAAAAUGCUUAUAACUGAAAUAGGAUUUAGUGGCAUAAAUUAGGUUGUAUUCAUGUAAAAUACAGUUAAUUAGUUGGAUAUAAUGUUAGUGGUAUUGAAAUGUUAAAUAUCUCUUCUGUGUUCUACAGUGAUAGUCAAGUCAAGGGUGAGACAUUAUAGUAAAACUACACUACCCAGGAUAACUGGAAGCUUUAUAGUGAAGUAAGGCCAGGCACAGGGUAUUGGAAAUAACCAAAAACUUUAUUAGGGACAGUGCAGCAUCGUGAGAAAGUAGUAUGUAAGUUCAGAAAUCACUAAAAUAAUUAAUAGUAAAUAUCCUCUGGUAGAAUGUACCAUACCAUAACCUUGUAAGAAUCUGGGAAAUAGAUUGAGGUGACUUAGACCUAGGUUGUUCCAGUCUGAGCUACCAAAAGAAAUAAAUAUAAGAACUCAUUUUUGACAUAGCUUAAGAACCAUGUAUGUAUGUAAUAUUACAUACAUAUAUUUUUAUUAAAUUGCAUAUGUCCAUAAGUUAUUUGGAUGUUAAUAGGAUGUGAAAUAAGUCAGAAUAAUACAAGUGCAAUUUGUACUGUUAUAAAGAUAUCACAUAGUAUAAUGGUUUACAUAAAAUACAAAUACAUCCACCCAUUACAUUCCAUUGAUAAAUUAUACUACCUAUUUAUAAUAUAUGACAAGAAAACUUUAAUGAACAUUAUGAAUUAUUUGUAAUGUAUUCUUAUCUGUAAAAAGUUGUACAGUUGCAACACCAGGAACUCAAACUUACCAUUGUUUUUAAGCCAUUAAACUCCAGUGAAGUCAC